AGUGAAUGCUGGCGGUAGGCCUAACACAUGCAAGUCGAACGGCAGCACAGUAAGAGCUUGCUCUUACGGGUGGCGAGUGGCGGACGGGUGAGGAAUACAUCGGAAUCUACUUUUUCGUGGGGGAUAACGUAGGGAAACUUACCCUAAUACCGCAUACGACCUACGGGUGAAAGCAGGGGAUCUUCGGACCUUGCGCGAUUGAAUGAGCCGAUGUCGGAUUAGCUAGUUGGCGGGGUAAAGGCCCACCAAGGCGACGAUCCGUAGCUGGUCUGAGAGGAUGAUCAGCCACACUGGAACUGAGACACGGUCCAGACUCCUACGGGAGGCAGCAGUGGGGAAUAUUGGACAAUGGGCGCAAGCCUGAUCCAGCCAUACCGCGUGGGUGAAGAAGGCCUUCGGGUUGUAAAGCCCUUUUGUUGGGAAAGAAAAGCAGCAGGUUAAUACCCCGCUGUUCUGACGGUACCCAAAGAAUAAGCACCGGCUAACUUCGUG
rnacentral:rRNA from 1 species